UCAUCUUUAGUAAAAAUAUUUAUGUUAUCUUGAUAAGGUAGAGUUUAUAGGUGGA
rnacentral:tRNA from 2 species